CUGGCUCAGGACGAACGCUGGCGGCGUGCCUAAUACAUGCAAGUCGAGCGGACUAAUGGGAGCUUGCUCCCGUUAGUUAGCGGCGGACGGGUGAGUAACACGUGGGCAACCUACCUGUAAGACUGGGAUAACUUCGGGAAACCGGAGCUAAUACCGGAUGACAUAAAGGAACUCCUGUUCCUUUAUUGAAAGAUGGCUUUUAGCUAUCACUUACAGAUGGGCCCGCGGCGCAUUAGCUAGUUGGUGAGGUAACGGCUCACCAAG
rnacentral:rRNA from 1 species